rnacentral:rRNA from 1 species
CGCACGGGUGAGUAACACGUAUGCAACCUGCCUGCCACAGCCGGAUAAUCGGGAGAAAUCCCGUCUAAUACGGCAUAAUGCAUCGACGGGACAUCCUGUUGGUGCCAAAGGUUAAUUCCGGUGGCGGAUGGGCAUGCGUCGCAUUAGUUAGUUGGCGGUGUAACGGACCACCAAGACGACGAUGCGUAGGGGUUCUGAGAGGAAGGUCCCCCACACUGGUACUGAGACACGGACCAGACUCCUACGGGAGGCAGCAGUGAGGAAUAUUGGUCAAUGGGCGGGAGCCUGAACCAGCCAAGUCGCGUGAGGGAUGACGGCUCUAUGGGUUGUAAACCUCUUUUGCCGGGGAGCAAAGUGCCGCACGUGUGCGGUUUGGAGAGUACCCGGAGAAAAAGCAUCGGCUAACUCCGUGCCAGCAGCCGCGGUAAUACGGAGGAUGCGAGCGUUAUCCGGAUUUAUUGGGUUUAAAGGGUGCGUAGGCGGACGCUUAAGUCAGCGGUAAAAUUGCGGGGCUCAACCUCGUCGAGCCGUUGACUUUGGGUGCGUUGAGUGCAGAAGAAGACAGGGAAUUCCAUGUGUAGCGGGAGAAUGCGUAGAUUUAUGGAAGAACUCCGGUGGCGAAGGCGGCGUGUCUGGUGCCCAACUGACGCUGAGGCUCGAAAGCAUGGGUAUCGAACAGGAUUAGAUACCCUGGUAGUCCAUGCAGUAAACGAUGAAUGCUAGAUGUCCGGGGCGAUCGAGUUAUGUGUGACACAGAGAAAGCGUUAAGCAUUCCACGUGGGGAGUACCCCGGCAUCGGUGAAACUCAAAUGAAUUGACGGGGGCCCGCACAAGCGGAGGAACAUGUGGUUUAAUUGGAUGAUACGCGAGGAACCUUACCGGGGCUUAAACGCAGGAGGGAUGUUUUUGAAAGCGAGGCAGCCACCAAUGGUCUCAUAUGAGCAGCUGCAUGGUUGUCGUCAGCUCGUGUCCGUGUGUGUGGGCUAAAGUGCCAUACCUAGUGCAACCCCCCCUUACAGUGCUCAUCGCGGAGGUGCGGGCCUCCUCCGGGGAAUGCAUGCGCAAGCAGUGACAUAGGCGGCGAAGAUUUACAAUCAGCACCACCAUGAUGUCCGGGGAGACACAAGUCUUACAAAGACAGGUAUUUGUGGGAAGUCCUCCGGGUGAGGCGGGCAGGAACCAGAAAACUUAUUCCACUUUGGACCGGUGUCUGCAACCCGAAUGCAAGCAUUCGCCUUCGCUACCCAUCGAGCAUCAAGCGUGAAGCGGGUAAUAAGUUUUCAUCCUGAGCCCGCACCAACCUUCAAG